AGGGAAAGAUGAAAAGCACUUUGGAAAGAGAGUUAAACAGUACGUGAAAUUGUUGAAAGGGAAACGAUUGAAGUCAGUCGUGACCGAGAGGCUCAGCCGGCUCUGCCGGUGUAUUCCCCUCGGUCGGGUCAACAUCAGUUUUGUCCGGUGGAUAAGGGCGGUAGGAAGGUGGCACCCACGGGUGUGUUAUAGCCUGCCGUCACAUACACUGGGUGAGACUGAGGAAUGCAGCUCGCCUUUAUGGCCGGGGUUCGCCCACGUCCGAGCUUAGGAUGUUGACAUAAUGGCUUUAAACGACCCGUCUUGUAACACGGACC
rnacentral:rRNA from 16 species